GAUAUGAUAAUGAUGUGGAUGGACCCAGGCGACCCAAUAGCCCUAUGGAAAGACCUGGCUAGGCCAGGCAUUACGAAGUCCUGUGGUGCCCUUCAUGGUGGCCGGGCAAAUAGCUUAGGGAUUUUUGAGGUCAUGUCCAUCCGUUAUGUGAGUUAUUUGUGAUGUGAUGCAUUUCAUUUGGCAUAUGUAUUUAAUGUUUUUAUAUAGUUCUACUCACUGGGCUUAGUAGCUCACCCGUCUCCCUAACCCCAUGUUUCAGGGCCUCAGAGGAAAGUCAGAGUAAUGGUUAUGAAUAUGUUGUAAGAUAUUGUAAUGAUAUUGGAGAUAAAGAUUUGUGCUUAGCUCUAUAGUAUGUUGUAUCCCUCUUGUACAUGAUCAAUAUUUUUAUGAUUUAUGAUGUUUAUCUUUAUGAUAACCACUGAGCUUGACACUUUUAUUAUUAUCCAUCUGGAGUAUUUGAUGAGAACUCCAGUAGGGUGAUUAUGUUUACAGAUAUAGUACAUGUGCAGGUCAAGCUGAAUUAAUGAAAGUUCAAAAUUUUUAUGGAAAUGUAUGAUCAUGUAUGGGAUUUAUCAGGUACUCAGAGUGCAUAGUAGGCUUGCUACAGGUUCCAGCGGCCUUAGGUCGACCUGAAUCCUAGCGCCGGUAAUGGUCCAGUUUCCGGGCUGUUACAGAUUGGUAUCAGAGACCUAGGUUCACAUGGUCGGACCUAUAGAGUGUUUUGGGCUCAUAGAGGUCAUAGAAGGGCAAGCACAAUAGGAAAAUCAUGUCCACUAGGAUAGGAUGGAGAGUCCUGUCUUGAUGAUGUGUGUGUAAAGCCAUGAUUUUAUCCAUGUGCAUUUAAUGAUAUGAUAUGCUAUGUAUGUUAUGAGGAUUCAUGUGUUUUCACAUGGAUCAUUUGAUGUUAAUGUUUAUAUGUGAAUGUUAUGUUUUCAGAAGGCAGUAUGAGAGGAACUCAUCGAUCUGCUAGAUUGACUGGAGCUCCACCAGAGAAUGAGGGCAUGGAUGCCCGUCCCCCUGCUUUGCCGAGGGCAAUGUCUCAGAGGUCAGGAAGGGAAAGAUCAUCAAGGGACCCUAGAAGGUCUUUUGAUGGAAGCAGAAGAGAAACUGAGCAAGGCAGAAGGUCUAGUGAUGAGGGGGAGCCUAUGAAUGUUGAUCAAGGAAGAGAUGGAGGGUUAGGUGUUGGCAUGUCAGAAGAGGAUGUGGGAUCAUCUCAUGGAGGCGCUCAGGCCUCGGGGUAUGGUUAUCUGCCCCAGUUUUAGCCUUUUCCACAAGGCUCAGGAUAUUCGAUGGGGGGUACAUCGGAUUAUCCCAGUUUUAACCCGUAUCCCACUUAUAUGCCUUAUCCACCUUUCUACCGACCAUACCCCCAGUACCAAAUGUAUCCACCUUCACCUUUCUACACUAGUCCAGCAUACUCAACUCCAGGAAGUUCUGCACCUCCUCCCCCACCACCAGCAGAACCAGUAGUCCCUGUUGUCCCAGUAUCUCAGCCUGCCCCACCUAAGAAGAGUAAGUGAAGAUGACUGAUUACUUGAAACUGGAUGCUCCUAAGUAUCAGACUGGGGAUGAUCCAUUCGAGUACAUCAAAGCAGUGAAGAUGAUAGCAGAUGAAUUGGGGGCAGACGAUACCAGAGCCAUUUAGAUGUCUGGGUUCACUCUAAAGUGUAAGAGAGCAAAGAAGUGGUUUAAUACCUAUGUGGACCCUAGAGUGGAUAGCAUGUCUUGGGAGGAGUUUGCAAACGAGUUUGCUGGAUGGGCUUUUCCCGAUAGCUCCAGAGAACUGAAGAUGAUAGAAUUUGAGCAGCUGAGGCAAACUGAAGAUAUGAGUGUGGAUGAGUAUACUGAGAGGUUCAUGGACUUGCUGCAGUAUGUGGGUCAGGCCUAUGAUACAGAUCAGAAGAAGGCCAGGAGGUAUGCUAUGAGGCUCCAUUUCAGAUACUCCUCCUUGAUCCAGGCAGCGGAGAGAGAGAGCUUCCACACUGUGGUGGAUAUUGCACGCAAGAUGAAGGCCAGUGCCAUUAGUCAGGGAGCAGUUAAACAGCAGGUGGCACAACCUUCAGGAUCUAAGACCCCAGGAAGGGGCAAGACAGAUCCCUCUUCUCAGAAUGUAGCAACUUCUGGGGGUAAGAAGUGGACUGGUUCCAGUAAGAAUCCAAAGAAGAACAAGUUCUGGAACAAGUUGAAGGCAGGUCUGGGACUAGGAAGUGGCUCGAGUUCAGGAGCAGAGGCUUCAGUAUGUAUGAGAUGCGGUAAGCCGCAUAAGGGAGUGUGUCGGGCUGGGACGACAGCAUGUUUCAGGUGCAGUCAAGAGGGACAUAUGGCUCGGGAAUGUCCUAGAGCAGCUUUUUCAGCACCGUCCCAUCAGGCAGCUCCAGACAGUAUGGCUCAGCCGUCAGCUCCAGCCACUACUCAGGGCAGAGGCAGAGGGAGAGGAGCAGCCUCUUCUUCAGGUUCCCGAGGUGCAGGUCCGUCAGCUCCAGCACGGAUCUUCACCAUAACUCAGCAGGAGGCUGACACAUCUAACACCGUGGUGUUAGGUAAUCUCAUCAUUGGGUGUUUUGAUGUGUAUGCUUUGUUAGACCCUGGUUCUUCUCAUUCUUUCAUUGCUCCGAGAGCCAUAAAGAGACUGGGUUUGAUAAUUUCUGGGUUAGAGUGUCCCCUUUGGGUCAGCGGGCCCAAGUGUGAUCCAUCAGUGGCAGAGUCAGUCUGCCGGUUUUGUCCAGUGUUCAUAGAGAGUAGAUGCCUUCCAGCUGACCUUGUGGUUCUAGAGUUGACGGAUUUUGAUGUCAUUCUAGGGAUGGAUUGGCUAUCUGCUCAUGGUGCUACCUUGGACUGUAGAGAUAAGGUAGUUAGAUUCAGAGAUCAGGAUGGAUCAGAAUUUGUCUUCAGAGGAGACAAGAGGGGCACGCCGAGAGGUUUGAUAUCAGCCCUACAGGCUCGUAGGUUGCUUAGGAGGGGGUGUCAAGGGUUUCUGGCUCAUGUGAGAGAGCUAGAUCAUCAGGUUAGGGAACCUGCCUCAGUGCCUGUUUUCAGAGAAUUUCUAGAUGUGUUCCCAGACGAGCUUCCAGGACUACCACCUGAUAGGGAGAUAGAGUUCGAGAUAGAGUUAAUGCCUGGUACCAGACCGAUCUCUAUCCCUCCCUACAGGAUGGCACCAGCAGAGCUAAAGGAAUUGAAAGAGCAGCUUCAAGAGUUGGUAGAUAAGGGUUUCAUCCGACCGAGUACCUCACCUUGGGGUGCUCCAGUGCUGUUUGUUAGAAAGAAGGAUGGAUCCUUGAGACUUUGUAUCGACUACAGGCAGUUGAACAAAGUCACUACCAAGAAUAAGUAUCCUCUACCCAGGAUCGAUGAUCUAUUUGACCAGUUAGCUGGAGCGAGUUGUAUUUCUAAAAUAGAUCUGAGAUCGGGGUACCAUCAGUUGAGAAUCAGGGAAGAGGAUGUUCCAAAGACAGCUUUCAGGACUAGAUAUGGGCAUUAUGAGUUCCUGGUAAUGCCGUUUGGGUUAACUAACGCCCCUGCAGCAUUCAUGGAUCUCAUGAAUAGGGUUUUCAGACCGUAUCUGGAUCACUUUGUUAUUGUCUUCAUUGAUGAUAUCUUGGUGUAUUCUAGAAAUGCAGAGGAGCAUGCCCAGCAUUUGAGGAUAGUCUUGCAGACUUUAAGAGAGCAUGGCUUGUAUGCCAAGUUCUCUAAGUGUGAAUUCUGGUUAAGGAGCAUUUCUUUUUUGGGCCAUGUAGUGUCAAACCAAGGAAUAUCAGUGGACCCCAAGAAGAUAGAGGCUGUAGCUAACUGGCCUAGACCCACCACAGUGACAGAGAUUAAGAGUUUUCUGGGUUUGGCAGGUUAUUACAGGAGGUUCGUUCAGGACUUCUCCAGAAUUGUAGCUCCUAUGACCAGAUUGACCAAGAAAAAUCAGAAGUUUGUAUGGUCUGACGAAUGUGAGGAAAGCUUUGAAAAGCUAAAGGAGAGGUUGACCUCAGCACCGGUGUUAGCUCUGCCUGCUAGUGAUGAGGACUUCACAGUGUUCUGUGAUGCGUCCAGAGUGGGACUAGGUUGUGUGUUAAUGCAGAAUGACAGAGUGAUUGCUUAUGCUUCUAGACAGCUGAAGAAGCAUGAGAUGAACUAUCCUACACAUGACCUUGAGAUGGUAAUUGUUAUCAUAAGAGCCUACAGCACAUUUUGAGUCAGAGAGAAUUAAAUCUGAGGCAGAGAAGAUGGGUUGAGCUGCUUAGUGACUAUGAUUGUAAGAUAAAGUACCAUCCGGGUAAGGCAAAUGUUGUAGCAGACGCCUUAAGCCGGAAAUCACUAGGCAGUUUGUCCCACAUCUCAGCAGAGAGGAGACCGGUGGUAAAGGAGUUUUAUAGGCUUAUGGAGGAGGGGUUACAGCUUGAGUUGUCUGGUACAGGUUCUUUGAUAGCACAGAUGAAAGUUUCACCCGUGUUUCUGGAGCAGGUGGCUCAGAAACAGCAUGAGGACCCAGAGUUGGUUAAAAUUGCCAGAGCUGUUCAGUCAGGCAAUAAUGAUGAGUUCAGAUUUGAUGAUAAGGGGAUUCUCCGCUACGGGAAUAGAUUGUGUGUACCAGAUGAUGUUGGUCUGAAAGGAGACAUUAUGGGAGAGGCCCAUAAUGCUAGAUACAGCAUUCACCCUGGAGCCACCAAAAUGUAUCAGGAUCUGAAAAGAAUUUAUUGGUGGCCAGCUAUGAAGAGAGAAGUGGCACUGUUCGUGUCAGCCUGCGAUGUAUGUCAGAGGGUGAAGCUAGAGCAUUAGAAGCCGGCUGGAAUGCUUAAUCCACUGCCAAUUCCAGAGUGAAAAUGGGAAAAUGUAGCUAUGGACUUUGUAGUGGGGUUACCGGCAACGUCCAACAGACUAGACUCCAUAUGGGUGAUUGUGGACAGACUGACCAAAUCUGCUCACUUCAUUCCUGUCAGGAGUAACUAUUCUGUGGACAAGUUGGCGCAGGUGUAUGUUAAGGAAGUUAUCAGACUGCAUGGGGCUCCCGUUUCUAUAGUGUCAGAUAGGGGACCCCAGUUUACCUCCAGAUUUUGGCGGAGUCUGCAGAAUGCUUUGGGCACAAGAUUAGACUUCAACACUGCUUUCCAUCCACAGACUGACUGACAAUCAGAGAGGACCAUCCAGACUAUAGAGGAUAUGCUCAGAAUGUGUGUGCUAGAUUUUGGCGGUUCUUGGAGGCAACAUCUACCUUUAGUGGAGUUUGCCUACAAUAACAGCUAUCAUGCUAGCAUAGGGAUGGCUCCAUAUGAAGCUCUUUAUGGGAGGAAAUGCAGGUCACCAGUUUGUUGGGAAGAGGUUGGAGAGAGGUCCAUAGCAGAACCUGAAUUGGUAGAGAUUACCAAUAGAGUGGUGCCCAUUAUCAGAGAGAGACUCAGAACUGCUGUCAGUCGGCAGAAAAGUUAUGCAGAUGUCCGCAGGAAGCAUGUAGAGUUCCAGGAGGGUGAUCUGGUAUUGCUGAAAGUGUCUGCAAUGAAAGGGGUGGUUCGGUUUGGUAAGAAGGGUAAACUAGCUCCACGGUACAUUGGGCCAUUUGAGAAUUUGCAGAGUGUCGGAAAUGUGUCAUACAAGUUAGAUUUACCUGCCUCCAUGGAGAGAAUCCAUCCGGUCUUCCAUGUUUCUAUGAUACGGAAAUUUGUGUCAGAUCCGAGUAAGGUUCUUAGUGAACCAGAUAUGGAGAUCCUUGGAGAUCUCACUUACGUAGAGCAGCCAGUUCGGAUCAUUGACACUCAGAUCAGGAAGUUAAGGAACAAGGAGAUCCCGAUGGUGAAAGUCCUUUGGAACCACCAUAAUCUUGAAGAAUGCACUUGGGAGACACGGGAGUCUAUGCUUCAGCAGUACCCCUACCUCUUUUGAGGUUAGAGUUUGUGUGCCUUCUUGUAUGUUUAUAUGUUAUGUUACUGCUAUGGUUUUUGAAUGCAUAUUAUAGUGAGAAACAUUCGGGGAUGAAUGUUUUAAGGGGGGGAGAAUGUAAUAUCCGGCUAGACCCCAGCAUUGGAAUCCGUACCUUUUGGGCGGGUUCUCUGUGGAAUACAGAAUUUCACGGGAUGACGGAUUAUUCUAGAAGGGUAAAUUAGAGGUUUUCCAAAUGUUUUUAUGUGAUUUUAAUGUUUUAAGUUAAGAAGAAUUGAGUUUUGGAAAAGAAAAAGGCCAAGGAGAUUUUACCAGGUUCGGCCGCCGAAAGUUGCAUGGUUUCGCAUGCACGUUCGGCUGCCGAAGGAGAGGCGGCUGGCCACCUAUUUAAGCCACUUUGACUGGAAACAGGGGUGUGGAACCCCCUGUUUUGAGCCAAAGGUAGGCUUUUACUCUCCUUGGUGUGUUCUUGUGAGAUUUCUUUAAAUCUUGCAUGUUUUUACAUGUUCUAAACUUUGUUUUAGAAUUUUGAAGCAAAAAGAGCAAGUUGAGCAACUUGGAGAAUUUGAUUGGUUUUCCACCCAUCUUCAAGUUAGGACCAUUAAUCCUCUCGUUCUUCAAGAGGUAAGCAUGGAUCCUCCUCUCCCCUUUAUGUUUAAAGUAUGUUUUAAGAGUUUUUGGGAGUUUCAUGGUUAGAUAUGCAUGGAUUUAGGUUUUUGUAUAAGUGUGGAGUUUAUGCUUUAUAUGAUGAUUUAGUGUGUUUGUUGGAGUUUAAGUUAGUUUUUAAGCUCCUUUAUGCAUGGUUAUUGAUAGUUGCAUGUUUUGGAAAGUUGGCUUGCAUGUUGAUUGGUUGUGUGAGGUUUUGGAGGCUGUGAGGUGUGAGUUACCCGAGUUUCUGCCUUCUGGGGAAACUCAGGUUCGGCCGCCGAAAGUGGACUUUCGGCCGCCGAACCCCUUGUGGAAGCAGUUUCGGCUGCCUAAACUUGCCCCCGAAAGUGGACUUUCGUAUCUGGAGGCAAGUUUCGGCCGCCGAAGGAGGGUGACUUUCGUCUCUGGAGUGGACUUUCGACCGCCGAACCUUGCCCCUGAAAGUGCCUCUGUCCAGCUUUCCUUUGCUAAUUUUUCCAUGCAUGUUUAUGAUGUUUUAAGGGGGUUUUGGGGAGAUGUUUAUAGUUAUGUUAGAGUAUGUUCGGUACCUCAUUUGAGUCCACCUGUGUAGGUACGGACCCUAGGAACCAAGCAGGCCCACAGAGUUAGAUUUACAGAUACAGUUCAGCUAUUGUUAGAGGUGAGUGGAACGAAACUAUGUUUUAAAUAAAUGAAUGUUUCAGCAUGAUCCAUGCAUCAUGAAUGCCAUGUUUAUAGUAGGAUGUAUUGCAUUAGUGACCAUGAAGCUGUUGCAUUGCAUAACUAUGUGAUAUGAUAAUGAUGUGGAUGGACCCAGGCGACCCAAUAGCCCUAUGGAAAGACCUGGCUAGGCCAGGCAUUACGAAGUCCUGUGGUGCCCUUCAUGGUGGCCGGGCAAAUAGCUUAGGGAUUUUUGAGGUCAUGUCCAUCCGUUAUGUGAGUUAUUUGUGAUGUGAUGCAUUUCAUUUGGCAUAUGUAUUUAAUGUUUUUAUAUAGUUCUACUCACUGGGCUUAGUAGCUCACCCCUCUCCCUAACCCCAUGUUUCAGGGCCUCAGAGGAA
rnacentral:lncRNA from 1 species